UGUUCAGAUCAUGGAUGGAAAGAUUUUAAGGCAAAAAAGACACCCAGAAAUGAUUUUCCACACAAGGCACCUGGUCCCAAUCAUCAUCACUUCUGAUGAUGUCACAUACACAGCGAGUCCACAACGUCUUAAAAUUGUUUCUGUAAAGUGCAGUGGUGCAGUGAAUGGGAAUGUUCUGUC